AUGAGGGAAUUUCACUUCGAAGGACUGUGUUUAGAUAUCAACAAAAUGUAAGAGAAACAAAUGUGUCCUAAAAUAGCUAAGCCCUUGGCAGCUGUAUUAUUUGGUAUGUGUUUAGCAAUAUGUGAACAUGUAUACGUUAAGGUUCCAAAUAUGUAUUGUAAAGAAGUAGAGAAAGAAUAUACUUAAAUAUUCAUUCUGACUUCCCACAACAGUUGCACUGACCAAAUAAACCUUAGUAGAAAGUAGGUUUCCUUCAUUCUUUCUUUCUUUUUUUAAUCUUUUCACACUAAAAAAAAAAAAGGGUUUCCCAAGACUCUUUACCACCCUCCUACUUCAUCCUACCCCUCAGCAGGAAGUUGGUCUACCCAUCGCCUCCGGGUGCUUCAUCUCGUUGGAGAGUGUUGGAAAAAAAUAUCCAAGCUCAUGCACAGAGGGCAGGACUGUACCACCAGGGAGCGUCCUCUGGCCAGCAUCGGCUAUAUAAUUUGUGAGGCCCAACCCAAAACAUUGUAUAUCCAUACAAUGGAGCAUUAUUCAGCAAUAAAGAAAAAUGAAGUUCUGACACAUGGAUAAACCUUGAAAAUAUUAUGCUAAGUAAAAUAAGUCAGAUGCAAAAGGAUAAACAUCCUUUUGGAAGUACACAAUUCAGAGACGUGAUGAUAGCAUUGACGAUGUUGUACAACUAUCACCACUAUCGAUUUCCAAAACAUUUUCAUCAUUCUAAACAGAAACUAUUCAACCUGUAUGUUGAGCACAUAAUCUGAGAUGCUGGACUAUAUGAAGAAGAACUCGGCAUCAGGAUGAGAGGAAGCAGACUCAUUAACAACCUGCGUUAUGCAGAUGACACAACCUUGCUUGCUGAAAGUGAAGAGGGCUUGAAGCACUUACUGAUGAUGAUCAAGGACCACAGUCUUCAGUAUAGAUUACACCUCAACAUAAAGAAAACAGAAAUCCUCACAACUUGACCAAUAAACAGCAUUAUGAUAAAUGGAGAAAAGACUGAAGUUGUCAAGGAUUUCAUUUUACUUGGAUCCACAAUCAACAUCCAUGGAAGCCCAGUCGAGAAAUCAAAAGAUGCAUUGCAUUGGGCAAACCUGCUUCAAAAGACCCCUUUAAAGUGUUGAAAAGCAAAGAUGUCACCUUGAAGACUAAGGCGUGCCUGACUCAAGCCAUGAUGUUUUCAAUCGCCUUGUAUGCAUGUGAAGCUGGAUGAUGAAUACGGAAGACCAAAGAAGAAAUGAUGCCUUUGAAUUGUGGUGUUGGGGAAGAAUAUUAAAGAUCCCAUGGACUGCCAAAAGAAUGAACAAAUCCAUCUUAGAAGUACAACUAGAAUGCUCCCUAGGGGCAAGGAUGGUGAGACUACAUCUCACAAACUUUGGACAUGUAAUCAGGAGGGAUCAGUCCCUGGAGAAGGACAUCAUCCUUGGUAGGGUAGAGGGUCAGCGAAACGAAGGAAGACCCUCUGUUAGAUGGAUGGACACAGUGGCUGCAACUGUGGACUCAAGCAUUGUGAGGAUGAUGCAAGACUGGGCAGUGUUUCAUUUUGUUGUAACAACAAACUUAGCAAUAACUUAAGCAAUAACUUCCUAUUUCCUCCUCCCCUACCCCUGGUAACCAUGAAUCUACUUUUAUCUCCAUGCAUUUGCCUAUUCUAGAUAUUUCCUGUGAGGGAUUAUGUGCUCAACAUGCAGGUUGAAUAGUUUCUGUUUAGAAUGAUGAAAAUGUUUUAGAAAUCGAUAGUGGUGAUAGUUGUACAACAUCGUCAAUGCUAUCAUUAUGUCACUGAAUUGUGUACUUCCAAAAGGAUGUUUAUCCUUUUGCAUCUGAUUUAUUUUACUUAGCAUAAUAUUUUCAAGGUUUAUCCAUGUGUCAGAACUUCAUUUUUCUUUAUUGCUGAAUAAUGCUCCAUUGAAUGGGUAUACAAUGUUUUGGGUUGGGCCUCACAAAUUAUAUAGCCGAUGCUGGCCAGAGGACGCUCCCUGGUGGUACAGUCCUGCCCUCUGUGCAUGAGCUUGGAUAUUUUUUUCCAACACUCUCCAACGAGAUGAAGCACCCGGAGGCGAUGGGUAGACCAACUUCCUGCUGAGAGGUAGGAUGAAGUAGGAGGGCGGUAAAGAGUCUUGGGAAACCCUUUUUUUUUUAGUGUGAAAAGAUUAAAAAAAAAAAAAAGAAUGAAUGAAGGAAACCUACUUUCUACUAAGGUUUAUUCUGUAGCACCCUUUUAUCAGCCAGGCUGCUGCUGCCACCCAAGACCUUAGAGAAAACUCUCAGAGGAAAGAGCUUGAACAAAUGGAGGAAAGAGAGGAAGGGGGAAGAAUGGGGAAGGAAAGCAAAGGGAAAAGCAUGUCCGGAGCCUGUAUUUGAUCCCCAGUUGAUUGCCAUGUCCUUCAGUGCAGACUGCUAGACUCUGCAGCUGCCUCCGCAUCUGGACUUCUCUUCCCAGGUCUGCAGUGACUGCUCCUGAAGCAUCCUCAUUCUGCACCAGUAGUCUGAAGUUCAAGAUGGCUAUCUUACUUGGAAAGGUUCUCUCACCUGGGGAGACCAGAUAAAAAAUGAAGAUAAGACAACUGUGUCAGAGAAUGCUGAUUCUCCAAUAUUUGUUCUUUCCUUCUUUCCUAGUAUCAGAACCCCAUUUUUCAUUUACAACAAAACCAGACUCUCUUGCAGCUAGAAGAGGCCUUAUUUGUUAGACUGUAGUCAUAAAAUGUAGAGGAGAUAGACAAAAUGUGGCAUAUAAACACAAUGGAAUAUUGUCCAGCCAUAAAGAGAAACAGAGUUCAGAUACAUUCUACAACAUGGAUGAACCUUAAAAACGUUAUGUUGUGUGAAAUAAACCAGAUGAAAGAACAAGUAUUAUAUAAUCCAACUUAUAUGAAUGUCUGGAAUAGGCAUGUACAUAGAUACAGAAAGUAGAUUAUCAGCUACAAAGACUUGGGGAAGGGGAGAAUGGAGAGCUACUGCUUAAUGGGUACAGAGUUUCAGUUCAGGCCAUGAAAGAGUUUGGGAAAUAAGUAGUGGUGACUGUUGCACAAUGCUGUUCAGAUAAUAAGUGCCACUGAAUUGUAUAUUUAAAAGCACUUGGUCACCCAGCCGACCAUGACAGGGGUCCGAAGACAACUGGGACCUCCCAGUCCUUACAACCAAAAACAUUGGGUGCCCGUGGUCUGUCUGCAGAACCCCCCUCACAUGCACACUCUAGGGAACAGGGAUGUGCUUUCCUCAGAGACACUUGGGGGUCAGUUCUCAGCCCCCUGCCUUGUUCAGAGCAUGACCCCCUGCUGCAAUCAGAUACUGGUAUAUACGCCAAUCACCUCUACGCCUCUAAGACAGAGCCUGCACCACACACUUGAUGAUCAGCUACCUGGAAACCUGAGCUGAAUUCAUAUAAGAAAACUGAAUGGACUCCUAGACUGAUAUACCUGAUAACAGCUCUAGCCAGCUGGGGACAGGAUGUCAGAGCUCCAAAGGUGAAAAUAAGCUAGCUCACUCUAGCAACAUAGGGGUAUACCAAAACAAAACAAAGCAAGAAGCUAUGACACAGUAAGCAAGCAUAACCUAAUACAAUAACUUAUAGAUGGCUCAGAGACAACAGUCAAUAUCAAGUCACAAAAAGGAACAGACCAUGAUCACCUCAACAGACUCUCAAAACAAAGAAUACAGGGGUCUUCUAGAUGAAAGUGCAUUCCUGGAAUCACCAGAGGCAGAAUAAAAAGUUUAGUAUACAGAACCCUUCAAGACAUCAGGAAGGAAAUGAGGCAAUACACAGAACAAGCCAAGGAUCACACAGAUCAAGCAAUUGAAGAAAUUACAAAGAUUAUUCAGGAACAUAAUGAAAAGUUUAAUAAAGCUGGACAAAUCCAUAGACAGACAGCAAUCAAAAAUUCAGAAGGUUAACAAUAAAAUUACAGCAUUAGACAACUCAAUAGAAAGUCAGAGGAGCAGAGUUCAGCAAGUAGAAGCUAGAAUUUCUGAACUCGAAGAUAAAUCACUUGGCACUAAUAUAUUUGAAGAAAAGUCAGAUAAAAGAAUUUUAAAAAAUGAAGAAACAUUAAGAAUCAUGAGGGACUCUAUCAAGAGAAAUAACCUACGAGCGAUUGGAGUACCAGAACAGGGAGGGAUAACAGAAAAUACAGAGAGAAUUGUUGAAGAUUCGUCGGCAGAAAACUUCCCUGAUAUCAUGAAAAAUGAGAAAAUAUCUAUCCAAAACGCUCAUCGAACUCCACACAAGGUGGAUCUUAAAAGAAACUCACCAAGACAUAUUAUAAUCAAACUUGCCAAAAUCAAAGACAAAGAUAAUUUUAAGAGCAGAGAGGGAUAAAUGAAAAGUCACCUACAAAGGAGAGCCAAUAAGAAAAAGCUCGGACUACUCGGCAGAACCCAUGCUGGCAAGAAGGCAAUGGGAUGACAUAUUUAAAAAAUUGAAGGAAAAAAAUUGCCUGCCAAGAAUCCUAUAUCCAUCAAAACUGUCUCUUAUAUAUGAAAGUGCAAUUAAGACAUUUCCAGAUAAAUACAAGUUGAGGAAAUUCAUAAAAACCAAACCAAAACUACAAGAAAUACUAAAGGGUGUUCUUUGGUUAGAAAAUCAGUAAUAUCAGGUAUCACCCCAAGACUAGAACACUGGGCAAAGCAACCAGAAAUCAACCCAGACAGGGAAAUCCAAAAAAACAAAGCAAGAUUAUAAAAAAAAAAGCUCAAAACAAGGUAACAGCGAUGUUAUUAUAUAAAAGAAGACAACGUUAAAAUAAUAAAGAGGGACUAAGAAAUGUAAUCAUAGACCUUCCAUAUGGAGAGGAAUAUACAGCGAUACAAAGAAAUAUAAGUUAGGUUGAAAUUUAGAAAAAUAGGUGUGAAUAAUAACGUAACCACAAAGGAGACAAACUAUCCUACUCAUCAAAAUAAAAUACAAGACAAAAAUAGAGACUCAGCAAAAACAAAAUCAACAACAAAUAUGAGGAAAGGACAAUAUAUAAUCAACUCAGCACAUAAAAUUAAGUGGGAAAAAGAAACUGUCAACAACACACAAAAAAAGACAUCAGAAUGAUAGCACUAAAUUCAUACCCAUCCAUAAUUACGCUGAAUGUGAAUGGACUAAAUGCACCAAUAAAGAGACAGAGAGUGGCAGAAUGGAUUAAAGAACAAGAUCCAUCUAUAUGCUUCCUACAAGAGACACACCUUAGACUUAGAGACACAAACAAAUUAAAAUUCAAAGGAUGGAAAAAUUAUAUCAAGCAAACAACAAUCAAAAAAGAGCAGGAGUGGCAAUAUUAAUUUCAGACAAAAUAGACUUUAAGUUAAAUUCAUCAGAAAGGAUAAGGAAGGGCACUAUAUAAUGAUUAAAGGGACAAUACACCAAGAAGAUACAACCAUAUUAAAUAUUUAUGCACCCAAUGACAGGGCUGCAAGAUACACAAAACAAACUCUAUCAGCAUUGAAAAGUGAGAUAGACAGCUCCACAAUAACAGUAGAAGACUUCAACACACCACUUUCAGUGAAGGACAGGACGUCCAGAAAGAAGAUCAAUAAAGACACGGAAGAUUUAAAUGCCACAAUCAACCAACUUGACCUCAUAGACAUAUACAGAGCACUCCACCCAACAGCAACCAAGUAUGCUUUCUUUUCUAGUGCACAUGGAACAUUCUCUAGAAUAGGCCACAUAUUAGGUCACAAAGCAAGCCUCAGCAGAAUCCAAAACGUUGAAAUAUAACAAAGCAUCUUUUCUGACCAUAAGGCCAUAAAAGUGGAAAUCAAUAACAGGAAAAGCAGGGAAAAGAAAUCAAACACUUGGAAACUCAACAACACCCUACUCAAAAAAGACUGGGUUAUAGAAGACAUUAAGGAUGGAAUAAAGAAAUUCAGACAAUCCAAUGAGAAUGAAAACAUUUCCUAUCAGAACCUUUGGGACACAGCAAAAGUGGUGCUCAGAGGCCAAUUUAUAUCAAUAAAUGCACACAUCCAAAAAGAAGAAAGGGCCAAAAUCAAAGAAUUAUCCCUACAACUUGAACAAAAAGAAAGAGAGUAACAAGAGAAACCCACAGGCACCAGAAGAAAACAAAUCAUAAAAAUUAGAGCUGAACUAAAUGCAAUUGAAAACAGGAAAACAAUAGAAAGAAUUAACAAGACCAAAAGCUGGUUUCUUGAAAAAAUCAACAAAAUUGAUAAACCACUGGCCAAACCGACAAAAGAAAAACAGGAGAGGAAGCAAAUAACCCAAAAAAGAAAUGAGAUGGGCGAUAUUACAACAGACCCAACUGAAAUUAAAUAAUCAUAUCAGAUUAGUGUGAAGAAUUGUACUCUAACAAAUUUGAAAACCUAGAAGAAAUGGAUGAAUUCCUAGAAACACACCACCUACCUAAACUAACACAAACAGAGGUAGAACAACUAAAUAGACCCAUAACAAAAGAAGAGAUUGAAAAGGUAAUCAAAAAACUCCCAACAAAAAAAAGCCCUGGUCCAGGAAGCUUCACUGCAGAGUUCUAUCAAACUUUCAGAGAAGAAUUAACACCACUACUACUAAAGUUAUUUCAGAGCAUAGAAAAGGACAGAAUACUACCAAAAUCAUUCUAUGAGGCCAUCAUAUCCCUGAUACCAAAACCAGGUAAAGACAUCACAAGAAAAGAAAAGGAUAUAGACCUAUAUCCAUCAUGAAAGUAGAUGCAAAAACCCUCAACAAAAUUCUUGCCAACCGAAUUCAACAACAUAUCAAAAAAAUAAUUCACCAUGACCAUGUGGGAUUCAUACCAGGUAUGCAGGGAUAGUUCAACAUUAGAAAAACAAUUAAUUAGUCCACCACAUAAAUAAAAGACAAGAAUCACAUGAUUUUAUCAAUUGAUGCACAAAAGGCAUUUGACAAAGUCCAACACCGAUUCAUGAUAAAAACUCUCAGCAAAGUAGGAAUAGAAGGAAAAUUCCUCAACAUAAUAAAGGGCAUUUAUACAAAGCCUGUUUUUUGUUUAUACAAAGCCAACAGCCAACAUCAUCCUAAAUGGUCAGAGCCUGAAAGCAUUCCCAUUGAGAUCGGGAACCAGACAAGGAUGCCCUUUAUCACCACUCUUAUCCAACAUUGUGUUGGAGGUCUUAGCUAGAGCAGUUAGGCUAGAUAAAGAAAUAAAGGGCAUCCAGAUUGGCAAGGAAGUAAAAGCAUCUCUAUUUGCAGAUGAUGUGAUCUUAUACACAGAAAACCCUAAGGAAUCCGCAAGAAAACUACUGAAACUAAUAGAAGAGUUCAGCAGAGUAUCAGGAUACAAGAUAAACAUACAAAAACCUGUUGGAUUCCUCUACUGCAACAAAAAGAACAUCGAAUAGGAAAUCACCAAAUCAAUGCCAUUUACAGUAGCCCCCAAGAAGAUCAAAUACUUAGGAAUAAAUCUUACCAGAGAUGGAAAAGACUUACACAAAGAAAACUACAGUACACUUCUGCAAGAAACCAAAAGAGACUUAAAUAAGUGGAAAAACAUACCUUGCUCAUGGAUAGGAAGACUUAACAUUAUAAAAAUGUCUAUUCUACCAUGGGUUUUUAUUCUACCAAAAGCGAUCUAUACAUUUAAUGCAAUUCCGAUCCACAUCCCAAUGACAUUCUUUAAUGAGAUGGAGAAACAAAUCACCAACUUCAUAUGGAAGGAAAAAAGGCCCUGGAUAAAUAAGACAUUACUGAAAAAGAAGAACAAAGUGAGAAGCCUUACUUCACCUGAUUUUAGAACCUAUUACACUGCCACAGUAGUCAAAACAGCCUGGUACUGGUACAACAACAGAUACAUAGACCAAUGGAACAGAAUUGAGAAUCCAGACAUAAAUCCAACCACAUAUGAGCAGCUGAUAUUUGACAAAGGUCCCAAAACAGUUACAUGGGAAAAGACAGUCUCCUUAACAAACGGUGCUGGCAUAACUGGAUAUUCAUCUGCAAAAAAAUGAAACAAGGCCCAUACCUCCCUCCAUG